ensembl:lncRNA
CCACAUCAGAGGCAGUAGGGAUGACAGUAGGGAUGACCAGGGAUGUGAAUUAGACCAUUUUCCUGUCCUGUUAAUCAUCCAAAAUGUAAUGAGUACUUUUGGUUGUCAGGGAAAAUGGAGUAAAAAGUACAUUAUUUUCUUUAGGAAUGUAGUGGAGUAAAAAGUACAUUAUUUUCUUUAGGAAUGUAGUGGAGUAAAAAUAAAAGUAGUCAAAAAUAUAAAUAGUAAAGUACAAAUAACCCCAAAACGACUUCAGUUGUACUUUAAAGUAUCUUUACUUAAGCACUUUACAACACUGGUUAAUUCCCUGCAUAAAACUACGUUUGGAGCUUUAUACAAAUUGUCAGUCUUAUCAGAUACAUUUCUAAGUAAGAAUUAAAACGUUUCAAAGUGUUAAAAAACAACAAAAUAAUUGUAUUAAGUGCAGAACAUACAAGGCACAAACCAUUUGGAAUGUGAUAUUCUUCUUAUGGUCAUGAUCGUACAGGUAAAUACAUACACACACACACACACACACACACACACACACACACACACACACACACACACACACACACACACACACACACACACACACACACACACACACACACACACACACACACACACACAGAGAGAGAGAGUAGGAGACAGUCAACUUCUCAUCCAAUAGAGGCAACCAAUAAAGUACAAUUGAUCAAUUUGAAAGGCAUCAAUAAUUGUAAUUUAUCAAAGUCUAAUUGAUCAAGCAAAUGUAUACAAUAAUAUAUUAUAUGUAUUAAUGCGUAUAAGAAGAACAUUUAAAAGCACAGUUGCAAUAGUGUAAGUACCUCACCAGUCUAAGGAUAUUUGACAAGUAUACUAACACCUAUGUAAAUCAAAUCAAAACAUUCCAUAGGUAUUAGAUAUAGUUAUAUCUCUGGACAGGCUAAGUGCUAUUUCCUCCAUAUUGCUUCCACCUAUCCACACACACUGACUCCGGUGAGGGCUUCCCAAUCCUGGUCCGGGGACCCAAGACGGUGCACAUCUUUUGUUUUUAGCUUAAUUCAACUAAUAAACUUCUCAUCAAGCAUUUGGUUGAAUCAGGUUUGUGAGUGCGAGGGCAAAAAAACAAAAAUGUGUCCCCCUUAGGGUCUGCGGGACCAGGAUUGGGACACACGGGUAGGGGCUUGGAAAGGAUUUGGAAUUUUGAUUUGGAACACAAACAGGAAGUUAAGUGCUGAGAGGGUGGGGCUUCUUUCCUUACAUCACUUCCUGAGAAGUGAUUUCCCGUCCUCCAGUUCCUCUGUGUACGUUGGCUCUGAAGGGGUUAACACACAGAGCAAACCUGUUAAAACAGACCCAGGAUAAAGGUAGUGUGUGUGUGCUAGCUGUUCCUGUAAACUUCCAG